AUUGAACGCUGGCGGCAGGCCUAACACAUGCAAGUCGAACGAGUGGCGGCCGGGUGAGUAAUGUCUGGGAAACUGCCUGAAGGAGGGGGAUAACUACUGGACACGGUAGCUAAUACCGCAUACCAUCGGAUGUGCCCAGAUGGGAUUAGCUAGUAGGUGGGGUAAAGGCUCACCUAGGCGACGAGCCCUAGCUGGUCUGAGAGGAUGAUGCGCCACACUGGAACAGAGACACGGGCCAGACUCCUCCGGGAGGCAUCAGUGGGGAAUGUUGCACAGUGGGUGCAAGCCUGAUGCAGCAAUGCCGCGUGUAGGAAGAAGGCCUUCGGGUUGUAAAGUACUUUCAGCGGGGAGGCGUGACCCGCAGAAGAGGCACCUGCUAACACCGUGCCAGCAGCCGCGGUAAUUC
rnacentral:rRNA from 1 species